rnacentral:rRNA from 1 species
UGGGGAAUAUUGCACAAUGGGCGAAAGCCUGAUGCAGCGACGCCGCGUGAGGGAUGGAGGCCUUCGGGUUGUAAACCUCUUUCAGUAAGGGUGAAGGCUCUCUUUUGUGGAGGGUUGACAGUACUUGCAGAAGAAGCGCCGGCUAACUACGUGCCAGCAGCCGCGGUAAUACGUAGGGCGCGAGCGUUGUCCGGAAUUAUUGGGCGUAAAGGGCUUGUAGGUGGCGUGUCGCGUCUGCUGUGAAAUUCCAGGGCUUAACUUUGGGAUUGCAGUGGGUACGGGCAUGCUAGAGUGCAGUAAGGGGGAUUGGAAUUCCUGGUGUAGCGGUGAAAUGCGCAGAUAUCAGGAGGAACACCGAUGGCGAAGGCGGGUCUCUGGGCUGUUACUGACGCUGAGGAGCGAAAGCGUGGGGAGCGAACAGG